CCUUUACUGACGCUAAAGCUCGAAGGUGCGGGUAUCGAACAGGAUUAGAUACCCUGGUAGUCCGCACGGUAAACGAUGGAUGCCCGCUGUUUGCGAUAUACAGUAAGCGGCCAAGAGAAAUCGUUAAGCAUCCCACCUGGGGAGUACGCCGGCAACGGUGAAACUCAAAGGAAUUGACGGGGGCCCGCACAAGCGGAGGAACAUGUGGUUUAAUUCGAUGAUACGCGAGGAACCUUACCCGGGCUUGAACUGCAGCGGAAGGAUACAGAGAUGUUGACGUCCUUCGGGACCGCUGUGGAGGUGCUGCAUGGUUGUCGUCAGCUCGUGCCGUGAGGUGUCGGCUUAAGUGCCAUAACGAGCGCAACCCUUUUCAUCAGUUGCCAUCAGGUGAUGCUGGGCACUCUGUUGAUACUGCCACCGUAAGGUGUGAGGAAGGUGGGGAUGACGUCAAAUCAGCACGGCCCUUACGUCCGGGGCUACACACGUGUUACAAUGGGGCAUACAGAAGGCAGGAUCAUGGCAACAUGGUUCAAAUCUUUAAAGUGCUCCUCAGUUCGGAUUGGGGUCUGCAACCCGACCCCAUGAAGCUGGAUUCGCUAG
rnacentral:rRNA from 1 species